CCUACGGGAGGCAGCAGUGAGGAAUAUUGGUCAAUGGGCGCGAGCCUGAACCAGCCAAGUAGCGUGAAGGAUGACUGCCCUACGGGUUGUAAACUUCUUUUAUAAAGGAAUAAAGUGAGGCACGUGUGCCUUUUUGUAUGUAAUUUAUGAAUAAGGAUCGGCUAACUACGUGCCAGCAGCCGCGGUAAUACGGAGGAUCCGAGCGUUAUCCGGAUUUAUUGGGAUUAAAGGGAGCGUCGAUGGGUUGUUAAGUCAGUUGUUAAAGUUUGCGGCUCAACCGUAAAAUUGCAAUUGAUACUGGCAGCCUUGAGUACAGUUGAGGUAGGCGGAAUUCGUGGUGUAGCGGUUAAAUGCUUAGAUAUCACGAAGAACUCCGAUUGCGAAGGCAGCUUACUAAACUGCCACUGACAUUGAUGCUCGAAAGUGUGGGUAUCAAACAGGAUUAGAUACCCUAGUAGUC
rnacentral:rRNA from 1 species